UGCCCUAUGGCUCAGUUGGCUAGCGCGUGGAGCUGUUAACUCCGAGGUCCACGGUUCGAGCCCGUGUGGGGCAG
rnacentral:tRNA from 1 species